UACGGGGGGAGCAAACGUUGUUCGGAUUUACUGGGCGUAAAGGGCGCGUAGGCGGCCACCGCAAGUCGACUGUGAAAUCUCCGGGCUUAACCCGGAAAGGUCAGCCGAUACUGCGGGGCUAGAGUGCAGAAGGGGCAACUGGAAUUCUCGGUGUAGCGGUGAAAUGCGUAGAUAUCGAGAGGAACACCUGCGGCGAAGGCGGGUUGCUGGGCUGACACUGACGCUGAGGCGCGAAAGCUAGGGGAGCAAACGGG
rnacentral:rRNA from 1 species